AGACCCGAAACCCGGUGAUCUAGCCAUGGGCAGGUUGAAGGUUGGGUAACACUAACUGGAGGACCGAACCGACUAAUGUUGAAAAAUUAGCGGAUGACCUGUGGCUGGGGGUGAAAGGCCAAUCAAACCGGGAGAUAGCUGGUUCUCCCCGAAAGCUAUUUAGGUAGCGCCUCGUGAACUCAUCUCCGGGGGUAGAGCACUGUUUCGGCUAGGGGGCCAUCCCGGCUUACCAACCCGAUGCAAACUGCGAAUACCGGAGAAUGUUAUCACGGGAGACACACGGCGGGUGCUAACGUCCGUCGUGAAGAGGGAAACAACCCAGACCGCCAGCUAAGGUCCCAAAGUCAUGGUUAAGUGGGAAACGAUGUGGGAAGGCCCAGACAGCCAGGAUGUUGGCUUAGAAGCAGCCAUCAUUUAAAGAAAGCGUAAUAGCUCACUGGUCGAGUCGGCCUGCGCGGAAGAUGUAACGGGGCUAAACCAUGCACCGAAGCUGCGGCAGCGACACUUUAGUGUUGUUGGGUAGGGGAGCGUUCUGUAAGCCGUUGAAGGUGUCCUGUGAGGGGUGCUGGAGGUAUCAGAAGUGCGAAUGCUGACAUAAGUAACGAUAAAGCGGGUGAAAAGCCCGCUCGCCGGAAGACCAAGGGUUCCUGUCCAACGUUAAUCGGGGCAGGGUGAGUCGACCCCUAAGGCGAGGCCGAAAGGCGUAGUCGAUGGGAAACGGGUUAAUAUUCCCGUACUUGGUGUUACUGCGAAGGGGGGACGGAGAAGGCUAUGUUGGCCGGGCGACGGUAGUCCCGGUUUAAGCGUGUAGGUGUGUGUUCCAGGCAAAUCCGGUUCACUUUAACACUGAGGCGUGAUGACGAGGCACCACGGUGCUGAAGCAACAAAUGCCCUGCUUCCAGGAAAAGCCUCUAAGCAUCAGGUAACAUCAAAUCGUACCCCAAACCGACACAGGUGGUCAGGUAGAGAAUACCAAGGCGCUUGAGAGAACUCGGGUGAAGGAACUAGGCAAAAUGGUGCCGUAACUUCGGGAGAAGGCACGCUGACACGUAGGUGAAGUGAUUUACUCACGGAGCUGAAGUCAGUCGAAGAUACCAGCUGGCUGCAACUGUUUAUUAAAAACACAGCACUGUGCAAACACGAAAGUGGACGUAUACGGUGUGACGCCUGCCCGGUGCCGGAAGGUUAAUUGAUGGGGUCAGCGCAAGCGAAGCUCCUGAUCGAAGCCCCGGUAAACGGCGGCCGUAACUAUAACGGUCCUAAGGUAGCGAAAUUCCUUGUCGGGUAAGUUCCGACCUGCACGAAUGGCGUAAUGAUGGCCAGGCUGUCUCCACCCGAGACUCAGUGAAAUUGAACUCGCUGUGAAGAUGCAGUGUACCCGCGGCAAGACGGAAAGACCCCGUGAACCUUUACUAUAGCUUGACACUGAACAUUGAGCCUUGAUGUGUAGGAUAGGUGGGAGGCUUUGAAGCGUGGACGCCAGUCUGCGUGGAGCCGACCUUGAAAUACCACCCUUUAAUGUUUGAUGUUCUAACGUGGACCCGUAAUCCGGGUUGCGGACAGUGUCUGGUGGGUAGUUUGACUGGGGCGGUCUCCUCCUAAAGAGUAACGGAGGAGCACGAAGGUUGGCUAAUCCUGGUCGGACAUCAGGAGGUUAGUGCAAUGGCAUAAGCCAGCUUGACUGCGAGCGUGACGGCGCGAGCAGGUGCGAAAGCAGGUCAUAGUGAUCCGGUGGUUCUGAAUGGAAGGGCCAUCGCUCAACGGAUAAAAGGUACUCCGGGGAUAACAGGCUGAUACCGCCCAAGAGUUCAUAUCGACGGCGGUGUUUGGCACCUCGAUGUCGGCUCAUCACAUCCUGGGGCUGAAGUAGGUCCCAAGGGUAUGGCUGUUCGCCAUUUAAAGUGGUACGCGAGCUGGGUUUAGAACGUCGUGAGACAGUUCGGUCCCUAUCUGCCGUGGGCGCUGGAGAAUUGAGGGGGGCUGCUCCUAGUACGAGAGGACCGGAGUGGACGCAUCACUGGUGUUCGGGUUGUCAUGCCAAUGGCACUG
rnacentral:rRNA from 1 species